rnacentral:rRNA from 1 species
UGAGGAAUAUUGGACAAUGGGCGCAAGCCUGAUCCAGCCAUGCCGCGUGCAGGAUGAAGCAUCUAUGGUGUGUAAACUGCUUUUGUACGGGAAGAAACCACCCCUCGUGAGGGGUAUUGACGGUACCGUAAGAAUAAGGAUCGGCUAACUCCGUGCCAGCAGCCGCGGUAAUACGGAGGAUCCAAGCGUUAUCCGGAAUCAUUGGGUUUAAAGGGUCCGUAGGCGGUUUAAUAAGUCAGUGGUGAAAGCCCAUCGCUCAACGAUGGAACGGCCAUUGAUACUGUUAGACUUGAAUUACAAGGAAGUAACUAGAAUAUGUAGUGUAGCGGUGAAAUGCUGAGAUAUUACAUGGAAUACCAAUUGCGAAGGCAGGUUAAUACUUGUGGAUUGACGCUGAUGGACGAAAGCGGGGGGAGCGAACA